AACAACUAAUCGAUUUAAUCGAUUAUAAUCGAUUAUUAAAAUAGUUAACAACUUUUUUAGUCAUCGAUUAGUUGUUUAAUAAUCAUAUUUUACCGCAUAAAGUCUAUUUUUUACCACAAUCUGACAUCGGUUACAAUCUGUUAAAUUUGCCGCCAGUGUGUGGCAGUAAUGAGCCACUGAUCUACCAGUGGGGCCGUAGAAGAAGAAAUUAGCCAAUAAGUGCCUUCGGUUUUCAUGACGUAUCACGUUACUGACGCGCAUCUUGCUGUGAGAGAUGGCGGAUCAACAACAAAUACGGAAGAAAAAUAGAAGCGACAAAACAAGAGAAACCCCGGACAAAAACCUCACGAGUAUGGGAGCACUUCACUAGAUGCCUUGAAAAGACCGGUGACCUACAAAAUAUGCAAAAACCAUGGCACGACGGAAGCACGACGUCCCUAAGUGAACAUUUGAGACGAAAACGUGGGGGCUGAUGCAGCAGAGGAAUGUCCGAAAAAAACAAGCAACGAUGGACAACUAUAUGGGGAACAAGACACUCACCCCCAGCAAUGCAUACCACUUACAAACUCUAUUCCAGAUUCUACAUUAUUUUUUAUGGAAUUUACCUCUUAUAUUUUGAUGCCAAAAAAUUAUUCUGGACUGAUAUUUUGCACUGUUUAGCUCAUUUUACACUGCUGACUGUGGUCAUGUGCAAUAAAAUAGAUUGCAGUCAACUGCACAA